GAUGAACGCUGGCUACAGGCUUAACACAUGCAAGUCGAGGGGAAACGACGGGGAAGCUUGCUUCCCCGGGCGUCGACCGGCGCACGGGUGAGUAACGCGUAUCCAACCUGCCUCUGACUGAGGGAUAACCCGUCGAAAGUCGGCCUAAUACCUCAUGGCAUCGUCUGCGGGCAUCCAACGACGAUUAAAGAUUUCAUCGGUCAGGGAUGGGGAUGCGUCUGAUUAGCUUGUUGGCGGGGUAACGGCCCACCAAGGCUACGAUCAGUAGGGUUCUGAGAGGAAGGUCCCCCACAUUGGAACUGAGACACGGUCCAAACUCCUACGGGAGGCAGCAGUGAGGAAUAUUGGUCAAUGGGCGAGAGCCUGAACCAGCCAAGUAGCGUGCAGGAUGACGGCCCUAUGGGUUGUAAACUGCUUUUAUGCGGGGAUAAAGUGAGGGACGUGUCCUUCAUUGCAGGUACCGCAUGAAUAAGGACCGGCUAAUUCCGUGCCAGCAGCCGCGGUAAUACGGAAGGUCCGGGCGUUAUCCGGAUUUAUUGGGUUUAAAGGGAGCGUAGGCCGUGGAUUAAGCGUGUUGUGAAAUGCAGGUGCUCAACGUCUGCACUGCAGCGCGAACUGGUCCACUUGAGUGUGCGCAACGCAGGCGGAAUUCGUGGUGUAGCGGUGAAAUGCUUAGAUAUCACGAAGAACUCCGAUUGCGUAGGCAGCUUGCUGUAGCGUAACUGACGCUGAAGCUCGAAAGUGCGGGUAUCGAACAGG
rnacentral:rRNA from 1 species